AAUAUUCAAUUAUCCAUAACGCGUUUCGUCACAAAAGGACUUUUUCAAAUGGAGUCAAUUUGAAAAAGUCCUUUUGUGACGAAACGCGUUAUGGAUAAUUGAAUAU
rnacentral:miRNA from 1 species